rnacentral:rRNA from 1 species
AUCAUUAAUUAUGUUAAAGCGCCUUACCUCUUAGGGUUUCCUCUGGGGUAAGUGAUUGCUUCUACACUGUGAAAAUUUGGCUGAGAGACUCAGACUGGUCAUGGGUAGACCUAUCUGGGGUUUGAUCGAUGCCACUCCUGGUUUCAGGAGCACCCUUCAUAAUAAACCUAGAAAUUCAGUAUUAUAAAGUUUAAUAAAAAACAACUUUUAACAAUGGAUCUCUUGGUUCUCGCAUCGAUGAAGAACGUAGCAAAGUGCGAUAACUAGUGUGAAUUGCAUAUUCAGUGAAUCAUCGAGUCUUUGAACGCAGCUUGCACUCUAUGGUUUUUCUAUAGAGUACGCCUGCKUCAGUAUCAUCACAAACCCACACAUAACAUUUGUUUAUGUGGUAAUGGGUCGCAUCGCUGUUUUAUUACAGUGAGCACCUAAAAUGUGUGUGAUUUUCUGUCUGGCUUGCUAGGCAGGAAUAUUACGCUGGUCUCAGGAUCUUUUUCUUUGGUUCGCCCAGGAAGUAAAGUACAAGAGUAUAAUCCAGCAACUUUCAAACUAUGAUCUGAAGUCAGGUGGGAUUACCCGCUGAACUUAAGCAUAUCAAUAAGCGGAGGAAAAGAAAAUAACAAUGAUUUCCCUAGUAACGGCGAGUGAAGAGGAAAGAGCUCAAAGUUGGAACCUGUUUGGCCUAGCUAAACCGGAUUGUAGACUGUAGAAGUGUUUUCCAGGCAAGCCGAGUAAAUAAGUCCUUUGGAACAGG